AUAGAAGAUUUUUUUGACUCCUUUGAUAAAUUCUUACAAGUUUUAAAAAUAAAACAAAAUCUUUAAGUCUUGAGAGUCUUUUAUGAAUAAUUAGAUGAAGCAGAUCAAAAAUAUUUCAUAGAAGAAUUUUUACCUUCUCUUGCUAUACGUGCACUUGAAUUGGAAACACUAUUCUUAAAUUCUCCUGUCAAAAUUCUCAAACAAUAUGACUCCACUCCUUCCAUAUUUACUAAGCGCUAAAUAAGUUCUGUUUUGGCCAACAUGUUCUUUGGUACUAUUGAUUAUUCCAAAUACCGUACUCUCAUUUAAUGGUAUGAUGGACCCUAUAGAAUCGAAACAAAGAUUGAAAAAAUCAAAUGCUUGUAUAAUUAUUUCAAGAGAAUCCUCUCUGCAUCUGAAGA
rnacentral:sRNA from 1 species